rnacentral:rRNA from 1 species
UACGGAGGGGGCUAGCGUUGUUCGGAAUCAUUGGGCGUAAAGGGCGCGUAGGCGGCCGAUCAAGUCGGAGGUGAAAUCCCUCGGCUCAACUGAGGAAUUGCCUUCGAUACUGUUCGGCUUGAGUCCUGGAGAGGGUAGCGGAAUUCCCGGUGUAGCGGUGAAAUGCGUAGAGACCGGGAAGAACACCUGUGGCGAAGGCGGCUCUCUGGGACGGUACUGACGCUGAGACGCGAAAGCGUGGGGAGCAAACAGG